AAGUCGUAACAAGGUUUCCGUAGGUGAACCUGCGGAAGGAUCAUUAUUGAAUAAACCUGAUGUGAUUGUUAGCUGGCUUUUCGAAGCAUGUGCUCGUCUGUCAUCUUUAUCUUUCCACCUGUGCACAUUUUGUAGUCUUGGAUACCUCUCGAGGAAACUCGGAUUUUAGGAUCGCUGUGCUGUACAAGUCGGCUUUUCUUUCAUUUCCAAGACUAUGUUUUUAUAUACACCAUAGUAUGUUUAUAGAAUGUCAUCAAUGGGAACUUGUUUCCUAUAAAAUUAUACAACUUUCAGCAACGGAUCUCUUGGCUCUCGCAUCGAUGAAGAACGCAGCGAAAUGCGAUAAGUAAUGUGAAUUGCAGAAUUCAGUGAAUCAUCGAAUCUUUGAACGCACCUUGCGCUCCUUGGUAUUCCGAGGAGCAUGCCUGUUUGAGUGUCAUUAAAUUCUCAACCUUCCAACUUUUAUUAGCUUGGUUAGGCUUGGAUGUGGGGGUUGCGGGCUUCAAUAAUGAGGUCGGCUCUCCUUAAAUGCAUUAGUGGAACUUUUGUGGACCGUCUAUUGGUGUGAUAAUUAUCUACGCCGUGGAUGUGAAGCAGCUUUAUGAAGUUCUGCUUCUAACCGUCCAUUGACUUGGACAAUUUUUGACAAUUUGACCUCAAAUCAGGUAGGACUACCCGCUGAACUUAA
rnacentral:rRNA from 1 species